AUGAACGCUGGCGGCGUGCCUAGUACAUGCAAGUCGAGCGAACAGAUAAGGAGCUUGCUCCUUUGACGUUAGCGGCGGACGGGUGAGUAACACGUGGGUAACCUACCUAUAAGACUGGGAUAACUUCGGGAAACCGGAGCUAAUACCGGAUAACAUUUGGAACCGCAUGGUUCUAAAGUGAAAGAUGGUUUUGCUAUCACUUAUAGAUGGACCCGCGCCGUAUUAGCUAGUUGGUAAGGUAACGGCUUACCAAGGCAACGAUACGUAGCCGACCUGAGAGGGUGAUCGGCCACACUGGAACUGAGACACGGUCCAGACUCCUACGGGAGGCAGCAGUAGGGAAUCUUCCGCAAUGGGCGAAAGCCUGACGGAGCAACGCCGCGUGAGUGAUGAAGGGUUUCGGCUCGUAAAACUCUGUUAUUAGGGAAGAACAAAUGUGUAAGUAACUGUGCACGUCUUGACGGUACCUAAUCAGAAAGCCACGGCUAACUACGUG
rnacentral:rRNA from 1 species